GNGGGUGGCGCCUAAUUGGCGCUAUCGAACCUGGGGUCAGCAACGGGGGAG
rnacentral:rRNA from 1 species